GACGAACGCUGGCGGCGUGCCUAAUACAUGCAAGUUGAGCGCUGAAGGUUGGUACUUGUACCAACUGGAUGAGCAGCGAACGGGUGAGUAACGCGUGGGGAAUCUGCCUUUGAGCGGGGGACAACAUUUGGAAACGAAUGCUAAUACCGCAUAAAAACUUUAAACACAAGUUUUAAGUUUGAAAGAUGCAAUUGCAUCACUCAAAGAUGAUCCCGCGUUGUAUUAGCUAGUUGGUGAGGUAAAGGCUCACCCAGGCGAUGAUACAUAGCCGACCUGAGAGGGUGAUCGGCCACAUUGGGACUGAGACACGGCCCAAACUCCUACGGGAGGCAGCAGUAGGGAAUCUUCGGCAAUGGACGAAAGUCUGACCGAGCAACGCCGCGUGAGGGAAGAAGGUUUUCGGAUCGUAAAACUCUGUUGGUAGAGAAGAACGUUGGUGAGAGUGGAAAGCUCAUCAAGUGACGGUAACUACCCAGAAAGGGACGGCUAACUACGUG
rnacentral:rRNA from 1 species